UACGUAGGUGGCAAGCGUUGUCCGGAUUUAUUGGGCUUAAAGGGUGCGUAGGCGGCCUUGCAAGUCAGUGGUGAAAUAUCCCGGCUUAACCGGGAGGGUGGCAUUGAUACUGCAGGGCUUGAGUAAAGUUGAGGUUGGCGGAAUUGACGGUGUAGCGGUGAAAUGCUUAGAUAUCGUCAAGAACACCGAUAGUGAAGACAGCUAACUAAGCUUUAACUGACGCUGAGGCACGAAAGUGUGGGGAUCAAACAGG
rnacentral:rRNA from 1 species